rnacentral:rRNA from 1 species
AUAUCGCGUUGAAACACCGGUUCCCGUAAGAUCACCGAAGUUAAGCAACAUGUAGCCUGUUCAGUACCUUGAUAAGUGACCACUUGGGAAUACCGGGUGGUGUA